rnacentral:lncRNA from 1 species
GAAUAUAUUAAGCAUCUAAAAAUAUACAUUUUCAGAUUUCUUCAACAAACAUAACCACUCAAAUAUAUAUAUAUAUAUAUAUUCACACACCUCAACAGUACAACAGUACAUGUGUGUUACAAUUCUUGGGUAAAACAAAAUAUAGGGAGAUGAGACCAACACAAACUUAGACCAACACAAAUAUCUCUGGGUCAACUAGGACAGCAAGACACAUUUGAGAUACACAUUUGACAACCACCAUCAUGUGCAUAAUAUGUAUAUCAGUAGUCUAGGCAUGGGCUGCAACUCCUAGCCAAUAGAAAGGCUCCACAAAGGCAACACACUAGAGAAGGAAUGGGCAGCCAUACCAGCCAAGGGAGAUGGAUUUCUGAUAUUAAGAGGGGAAAGAGAAGAGCAAGCCACUCCUAAGACUUCACACGUCUCCAUUCUUCCCCAAAUAGCCAGACCAUCAGCUUGUCUUCCUCCCACUGUCUUCAUCUCUCUACCUGCAAUCAACAAAGAUCCAAGAACAACAAGUGAGGAUGGUGACCUGAGCAGUCAGCAGUAGACCGAAGGGGACAAGCUGGAGCUAGAAGCUAGCCUAGAGGGUGGAGUCUGAACGUAGGAAGAAAGGUGAGUUCUUGCAUCUUCUAGUUUCCGCAUAUAAAAGGAAAUCUUGCACGUUGCACACACAAUAUUCCUCACUAGUUCUUCACAGAUGCACACAAAAGCUAAAUCAUUUCAGUAGUGUCAUCCAUCCCAGAUCUUGGAAGCAACAGUACAAGAAAGCAUAAAUAGUGCCUUAACCAAGUAUAAUAAAAGGAGACAAGAUAUUGUACAUCAUCAGUACACAAACAUCCUUCACAGGAGGAAUUGGUUCAGUACACACAUGCACAUGAGACUAAAUUAAUUUACAAAAUCUGAGAACUUAGCAUAGAAAAAAAAAAUAGGGAGAUGAACAAGGGCAUCACUAACCUGCACUUAUGCUCGAUCUGCUCCAUGGCCAUGCCCUUGGAACUCUGAUCUGCAACACCCAGCGGCACCGCGGCCGCCAACGCCGGCAGCUUCGAUCUGGAGCAGCGGAAUCACAGCCCAACGAGAGCCUCACCUGCAAGUCAAAUCUGAGAGGGGAUUAGAGAGUUUGGGGCUGAAUCCUGAAAAAAAUAAGGGAUUUGGAUCAGGGGAGAGAGAGAGGGUGGAAGGGCCAGCAGCGACGGAGCAGCAUGUUUCCCCGUCGCCGGCGGCAUGGCCGGUCUGGCUAGAUUAGGAGCAGAGGAAUAGGAGGGAGAGAAGACAUGUACGUGUGUUCUGUUCUUGGUGGACUAGUACUGGUGUGUGUUGUGUUCGGUGGAGGACUAGUACAGGAGAGAGAGAGAGAGACUUGGAAAUUGAGAAAGGGAGAGGGCACGUGUAGGAUUGUGGUCUAGUAAUUACCAGGUGCACAUCUAAUAAUUAACUAUUCUAAAUCCACCUAAUGCAAGCUUAGUAAAAAAAUACUAGGUAAUAAAAGAAAUAAUAAUGUUUGACUGUAGGAUGACCACACUGCACCGACGUAUAUUUUUUAUUCCUUUGUAUUCACUCGACUUAGUCUCGAAAUAUAUAUAUUUGCCGAACCGUAGGAAGCGAAUACAGUCCGAAGAAGGAGGCGCUACAGAAGCAAAUCGAGUCCGGAUCUGAGUACGAAAACUCAGGCAAGCUCUUCUUGAUCAUGCUGACUAGAGCUAUUUAAAAAAGACAAUAUUUUCUGCUGUACCUUAUCAUCGACUUGCAUAAAAUGCUUUUGAGAUAAGUUGUGUGGAGUGAGUGUUGGCAAUAGUUGGGUUAGCUGAUGGAGCAGCUAAUCCAUUUUUUUAUAAUUAUUUGGUGGGUAGAGGGUGCCCGGAAUGGAUAUACUG